UGCCCAUGUCUCGGGGCCCCGGACUCUUCCGCGGUCUGCACCGGCGGCGGCGGCGGCGGCGGCGGCUCCUUCCACACACGCGGGUGGUGGCAGGUGUUCUACAUGACCCGUAAGUGGGAGAGGAAUGGAAGUGAUCCCCCCCUCAGCCUUCCAAAAGUUGGGAUCCAGAGUAUUGCCCCCACGGUGGUGUCUUUUUGGUGUUUCAGAUCUCAUGCUAGAUCAGUGUCUGAAAGCUUUGAUAACAUCGACUUGGAUAUCCAAACUCCUUUGUAAAAUUCUGCACAAGUUUCCUGUAAGACAGCACCUCUCCUUGUGUAACCUGGAAGCCUGACAGGACUAGAGGGCAUUUGGCUCCAACUGGCAUCCCUACCCACCACCUGGCUCUGCUGAACUGCCCCGACGCCCCAGCCGCAUGUGAGAGCUCACCUACUGUGCUCCGGGAAGUCUGUGCCUAAGCUAAGCAGCAGUUCUUUAUUUGCCUCUGAGUCACUCUUGGGACAUGACAUCAUGGGCUAACUUCAACUUGAUGGAAAGUCUUCGGGGCCCCUCAGUCUUCCUGCAGGAGGCAGAUGUGCAGGGCCUGGGAGCCCUUGGCAGUUGGAGUGGACAACCUCAUAGAGGUGUCAAAGGAGCCCAUCAAGACAAGUUCAGGGUCCCUGUGAAGUUGGGCAGAGAACCUGUGCCUAAGAAUUCUCAGAGGUGUUACCUCCUCAACCCUGGUUUCAAGAAUGAACACAUCAGGACUUCCCUGGU